AGCAGCCGCCACGGUAAUACAGAGGGUGCGAGCGUUAAUCGGAUUUACUGGGCGUAAAGCGUGCGUAGGCGGCUUUUUAAGUCGGAUGUGAAAUCCCUGAGCUUAACUUAGGAAUUGCAUUCGAUACUGGGAAGCUAGAGUAUGGGUGAGGAUGGUAGAAUUCCAGGUGUAGCGGUGAAAUGCGUAGAGAUCUGGAGGAAUACCGAUGGCGAAGGCAGCCAUCUGGCCUAAUACUGACGCUGAGGUACGAAAGCAUGGGGAGCAAACAGGAUUAGAUACCCGCGUAGUCCCUGUCUCUUAUAC
rnacentral:rRNA from 1 species